AAGGGUCGUAGGAGAUGACUACGUUGAUAGGCUAUAGAUGUAAAGGCAGUAAUGUCAUAGUCGAGUAGUACUAAUAACCCGUAAGCUUAUGUAC
rnacentral:rRNA from 2 species